rnacentral:rRNA from 1 species
UACGUAGGGUGCGAGCGUUGCCCGGAUUUAUUGGGCGUAAAGGGCGCGCAGGCGGCCCGGCACGUCACAUGUGAAAUCGCCCGGCUCAACUGGGCGGGGUCAGCGGAUACGGCGCGACUGGAGCAAGCUAGGGGGCAAUGGAAUUCCCGGUGUAGUGGUGGAAUGCGUAGAUAUCGGGAGGAACACCAGUGGCGAAGGCGGUUGCCUGGAGCUUUGCUGACGCUGAGGCGCGAAAGCGUGGGGAGCGAUCCGG